rnacentral:rRNA from 1 species
ACGGCUACCUUGUUACGACUUCACCCCAGUCAUGAAUCACAAAGUGGUAAGCGCCCUCCCGAAGGUUAAGCUACCUACUUCUUUUGCAACCCACUCCCAUGGUGUGACGGGCGGUGUGUACAAGGCCCGGGAACGUAUUCACCGCAACAUUCUGAUUUGCGAUUACUAGCGAUUCCGACUUCACGCAGUCGAGUUGCAGACUGCGAUCCGGACUACGAUAUGCUUUAAGAGAUCCGCUCACUGUCGCCAGCUUGCCUCCCUCUGUACAUACCAUUGUAGCACGUGUGUAGCCCUACUCGUAAGGGCCAUGAUGACUUGACGUCGUCCCCACCUUCCUCCGGUUUAUCACCGGCAGUCUCCCUAGAGUUCCCACCAUUACGUGCUGGCAACUAAGGAUAAGGGUUGCGCUCGUUGCGGGACUUAACCCAACAUUUCACAACACGAGCUGACGACAGCCAUGCAGCACCUGUCUUAGCGUUCCCGAAGGCACAACCGCAUCUCUGCAGUCUUCGCUAGAUGUCAAGAGUA